AUAAUCACAUUGAAGUUCAUCACAACAUUCACAUUCUUAGUGUUGUUAUCAUAUCAUAUAUCAUAUAUCUCUUCAGUGUUUGAUCACAAUUUAGAUAAUUGAUCUGAUGUUGCUCAUCUUUCAGUACACGUAUUUUAAAAUUUAUGUUUAGUACUAGAAUUAUGUUUUCAAUUCAGUUUCACAUCAUCAUGUCACUAUAAAUUUCAACAUGGUAUGCUUGCUCGCUUAGACUAGACAACUUUAUGAAAAUGCGGUAUCGGCAUCAGUAUGCUGCCAUUGAUCGUAUUGCCAAGCUUUUUUGUACAUCAUCUGACACAACAUCAUAUAGUCAAUAUGAUGCCCUAUGCACACUGCCCAUUAACUGAAUUACUAGAAUGUUCAUUGUUUUCUUCCAUGUGUAUCCCUUGGGGUGUGGUUCUUAUGAACACUUAUUUGCAGGUUUAUGGAUUCCUUCUAGAGUUUGAGAAAUUUUAAUGAGAAUUUGUUUGACAGAAACGCGAGGAGGGGCCAUUAGGACAAAUUUUUACGUAUAAGAGAUCUUGGGCAGACUGGAACCUAUGGACCAAAACUGGGGCAAGAGUUCAGUAGCUUUGCUGUUGUUGUUCUGGAACUCUUUAUGUCGUGAAAUAGCUAGGGAAAUUGCAUUGGUGCACUUUGUAUAAUUUGGGGUCCUCAGAUCAAGACAAUAUUGUAAGAAAACGCACCUUAAGGUUUGCAUCAUUUGUAUUAAGGUUGUUCCUUAUUUCAAACGAACAUGCUUUAGGUGUUUUUACAGAUGUGCUCCUGCUUCUAUCUACUGAUCAAAUGACUUUCUAUUUCAUUGUUUUCUGCCAAUAUAUUAUUCAGGAGUAAUGAGUGAUAAGAAUAAGAUAAGCCAGUCAUGAGUGUGAAGUGGCAAGAUAGUUUGUAAAUUCAGAAUCUUCAUUGCAAGUAAACGAACUGAUGUUUUUUGCCCACACAUUGCUCAAUGAUAAUUUAUACCAUGUCUUUAAUUUACUAGAUGAACUGCACACCUGAACGCAUCACUAGUGGAAAGAUUCAGCAUCUUGGUCGGCUGCUUGCGGCGGGGCUUGUGGCUGGUGGUUGCGGCAGUGGCAGAGCAGUGUCCGAGAGCGCGGCGCAAGCAGUGGCCCCUACUAUGUGGGCUGAUGGGAGCACACCAUCCAAGCAGCACUUCCAAGUAUGACAAUGUCCGCUCUACACCAAGGUACGUGGGCACUCGUGCAAAGAUCUAACAUCUUCACCGACUAGGACUAAGUUUAGCUCUCCAUAUGGUGCCCAUUUUUUUACGGGUAAGGCAAGAGCUCUGCCAAUUCAUUAAAGUUGAGGGGAAACUGUAAAGAAGGCAUAAAAAGAAGAAGGAAAAGCGCCACAAAAUAAAUGGAGGUUUAAAUACUGGAUGAGAUUUUCAUUGCUGGCAUUCUUCAUGAACCUGUCAAGGAGAACAUUUCAAUACUAAUUGUUGCAAAGGUGUUCUCACCACUGGCUAGCAAGAAGAGAGUAUGAUUUUUCAGUGCUCAUUGUUGUAAGCUUGAUUCACAAGGAGCUUCUCAAUGUUGUACAUGUAGUUUGUGAGUAACAGAAAUAAAACCUAUUUCUUCAUUCUUGUCUUGUACCUCCGUUUCAACUCCCCCAAACCAGUAGAGUUCAGUUACGUGUUUCAAUAUUAGGAAGUCAUCAUCUUCUAAAACAAAUUUUGUUACCUACUCAAACAUAUUUUAUUCCCGUGUUUCUUAUAAAUUUUGUAUAAAAACAUGUGUACAAUAGAACCUGUACAACCUGCAUUGGAGCAUGCUCAUUUGCUCUGUCCAUUUCUUCUAAAGAGUCCAGAUUCCUAAGCAUUCAUAAAUACGAUUUAGUGUGCUCUAAUACAUUACCGGAAUCAGAUGAUAUAUUUUCUGUGCGAAUUCGUUGACACAGUUCCUUACAAAAGUUGUAUCUUCGAAAAGGACAAACAACUCUAUGUAAUCCUAUCAUCCAUUCUGAUUUUGAGCCAAGUAUACCCAUUAUCUUUUUCCUUCUAGCAAGGUACCAUAGACAUGUUAUGAAAUUCUCCUUUGCCUUCUAGGUGAACCAAAUAGGCAUCUUUUUAACAAAUGGAGGGAAUUCGUUUGUCAAUAAAAAUAAAUUUUUCACAGGAGAUGUUGUCUUAUUUCUUCAAGUAUAAGCAAAUGAACAUUGUGAUGAAGUUAAAAACUUUCUAUCCUUAUUCCUCUUAUUCAUUGUGUGUUAUCCCGAUUUAUACAUGUAACAAUGAUGAAUGAUGAUGAACUUAGACUUAGUGUAAGCAGAGCCAAUCUGUUUCGUUGAACAAACCAGCUCUCUAUCCUUAUUUCUCCUAAAAGCUUUCAGACGAUACUCACACCAUAUGAUUCCUUGAAACAUAGUAGUAUUUUUCACAUCUAUUACAAUCCAAGGUUUUUUUAGUUAAUAUUAUUCUUUAUAUUUGUAAGUAGUAUAAAGUUGCACCAAAACUGGUAAUAUGAUUUUGGAUGAUAUAUUAUGAUGCUGACAAGGAGGUUAUUGGUGCUGAAUAAAAUAGCAGUAUGAAAUAACCUUGCAAAUAUUUGUUGGCUUUUAGUUUGAGCCUUUCAACUCAACUGAAAUUUUUAUUUGUAUAGUCUUUUACCUCUGGU